GUCGAACGGUAGCACAGAGAGCUUGCUCUUCGGGUGACGAGUGGCGGACGGGUGAGUAAUGUCUGGGAAACUGCCUGAUGGAGGGGGAUAACUACUGGAAACGGUAGCUAAUACCGCAUAACGUCGCAAGACCAAAGAGGGGGACCUUCGGGCCUCUUGCCAUCAGAUGUGCCCAGAUGGGAUUAGCUAGUAGGUGGGGUAACGGCUCACCUAGGCGACGAUCCCUAGCUGGUCUGAGAGGAUGACCAGCCACACUGGAACUGAGACACGGUCCAGACUCCUACGGGAGGCAGCAGUGGGGAAUAUUGCACAAUGGGCGCAAGCCUGAUGCAGCCAUGCCGCGUGUAUGAAGAAGGCCUUCGGGUUGUAAAGUACUUUCAGCGGGGAGGAAGGUGUUGCGGUUACUAACCGAAGCAAUUGACGUUACCCGCAGAAGAAGCAC
rnacentral:rRNA from 1 species